rnacentral:rRNA from 1 species
AUUGAAUGCUGGCGGAAUGCUUUACACAUGUAAGUCGAACGGCAGCACGGACUUCGGUCUGGUGGCGAGUGGCGAACGGGUGAGUAACAUAUCGGAACGUAUCCAAUAAUGGGGGAUAACGAGUCGAAAGAUUCGCUAAUACCGCAUACGCCCUACGGGGGAAAGCUGGGGACCUUCGGGCCUGGCGUUAAUGGAGCGGCCGAUAUCUGAUUAGCUAGUUGAUGAGGUAAAGGCUCACCAAGGCGACGAUCAGUAGCUGGUCUGAGAGGACGGCCAGCCACACUGGAACUGAGACACGGUCCAGACUCCUACGGGAGGCAGCAGUGGGGAAUUUUGGACAAUGGGCGCAAGCCUGAUCCAGCCAUUCCGUGUGAGUGAAGAAGGCCUUCGGGUUGUAAAGCUCUUUCGCAAGGGAAGAAAACUUAGCCACUAACAUUGGUUGAGGUUGACGGUACCUUGAUAAGAAGCACCGGCUAACUACGUGCCAGCCGCCGCAGUAA